UAGGGAAUAUUGGUUAAUCUACGAAAGUGGGAACCAGCAACGCCGCGUGUGCGAUGAAGGCCUUCGGGUCGUAAAGCACUUUUACAGGGACGAGGAAGGACGGUACCUGUAGAAUAAGCCUCGGCUAACUACGUGCCAGCAGCCGCGGUAACACGUAGGAGGCGAGCGUUAUCCGGAUUUACUGGGCGUAAAGCGCGUGCAGGCGGUUGGGUAAGUUGGAUGUGAAAGCUCCUGGCUUAACUGGGAGAGGUCGUUCAAUACUACCUGACUUGAGAGUGGUAGAGGAAAGCGGAAUUCCGGGUGUAGUGGUGAAAUGCGUAGAUAUCCGGAGGAACACCAGUGGCGAAAGCGGCUUUCUGGACCAUUUCUGACGCUCAGACGCGAAAGCUAGGGUAGCAAACGG
rnacentral:rRNA from 1 species